rnacentral:rRNA from 1 species
AAAAGUGCCGAUAUUCAUAGUGGAUACACCUGUUCCCAUCCCGAACACAGCAGUUAAGCACUAUGGAGCCGACGGUAACAAUUAUUGUCAGAAUAGGUCGCACACGCA